UGAAUGGGGAAACCCAAUACCAUAAGGUAUUACUGUUGAGUGAAUACAUGCUCAACAGGGCGAACCGGGGGAACUGAAACAUCUAAGUACCCCGAGGAAAAGAAAUCAACCGAGAUUCCGAAAGUA
rnacentral:rRNA from 1 species